CCCUCCAGCGCUGCGCUCAGAUGAGUCACUCUCAAAGGGUCCACGCAGGCCAGUGAGCCACAAAAGUGGCGGAUGCUGGAGAAACAGAGACAAGAGCAACUGGUGGUGUCCUGGGUACAGUUGCAGGGAAGGAGGAGCCACGGAUAUUCCAGAAGGAUUAUAGAGAGAAGAGCUACUUGCCCUCUGGCUUUGGAGACGGGACACAGACUGUGGGGGAAGAACAGAGUUCAUGGAAAGCUGAGGCUGGUGCUUGCAGCCCAGACACUUGAAAACUCAAAGGACACGAGGGCUUGGUUCCAGCUCGUCUUAGACAUCCUGUCUUUGAGAAAGCUGGCUUCUAACAUGAAACAUAAAGCCCAAACUCACACGAAUCAGCCUCCCUCCCCCAGCUAUGCAUUGCUUCUGGUCUGCUCAAAACCUGGGAAUAAAUUCGUUGUAACAUGGAUCCUCAAAGGACUCACAUAGAUCAGGCUGAGCCCAGGAACACCUCAUCUUCCUGCCUCCAUCUCCCACGUGCUGAGAUUACAGAUACCAUGCUACUUGUGAGCUGCUGAAGACAAGUGUUGCUGAGUAUUGAGAGGUGUAAAAACACCUAGAAAAGUGGCCAAUGAGAAGCGCUGGAAAGCACGACUGUCAUCAUCACCGUCCUCACUAAUACGAACCCCUAGUUCUCAGAUGGGGGGCCUGGCACUCCGCUGCGUGGAAGCCUGAUCCCAAAGCGUGCAGCUGGCCUGCCUGGAAUUCAGCCUCGACUUCACCUGCCCCGUUCCAAGGACACCCCCAAGCAAUCCUGUAGCUCAAGCACAGAUGUGAUGCUGUCCCCUGACCCAUUCGAAAUAUGUCUGGAAGACAUUUCUAUAGAUGUAGUGUCAAGGGAGGUUGGACAUUAAGAACCUCAUUUACGAUGCUGGAGAAGUAACUCAGUGUUGGUUGCUCUGGAAAGAACCCAGACUUGAUUCUCAGCACCCACAUGGCAGUUAACCACCAUCCAUAACCCCAGUUCUCGGGGACC